UACGAAGGGGGCUAGCGUUGUUCGGAUUUACUGGGCGUACAGGGAGCGUAGGCGGUUGGGUAAGCCCUCCGUGAAAUCUCCGGGCCUAACCCGGAAAGUGCGGAGGGGACUGCUCGGCUAGGAGGAGUGGGAGAGGGUAGUGGAAUUCCCGGUGUAAGUUGGUGAAAUGCGUAGAUAUCGGGAGGAACACCAGUGGGCGAAGCGGCUGCACUGGACCGGAACUGACGCGUGAGGCGACGAAAGCGUGGGGAGC
rnacentral:rRNA from 1 species